GAUAAGAUUUUUAACCUUUUUUCUUGUUCCCCUUUUUGUCUGUAAUCUAUUCUCCAUCAUUUGUUUGUUUUUCUAGAGGAAGCGUUCCAGGUGGGGUCCAGUCUGGAUAGGGAAGUGCUUGGGAGCAGCUGUGGCAUGGAUGGGCCGUGCCCUUGGAGAAGGCUGAGGACAUCGUUUGGGACCAGCUUUUCUUCCAGCGGUGGAUGGCGUCAGCCGGGCUCUGCGGGUGCUGAGGCUGCUCUGGGCUCUGCCAGGGCUCUGCUGGAGCUCAGCACCGGGCCAGAAUCAGCCAAAGAAGAAAUGGUGUGACCUGCAGCACUGCCUUGCUUGAGCAUUUCAGCAACACAGCUCAAGUUUGCAGAAUGUACACCUCCAAGGGAAAAGAUGCCACCACCCAAAAAAUUAAACUUGUUCAAUAGCUUCUGAAAUGAAA